rnacentral:rRNA from 1 species
AGGGAGCUCAUUGGAGGGGUGGCGGAGCCAACCGCGCUCGUGACGGCGUGGAUCCGAGCUGCGGAUGUGUUGUGGGGCCAGAGCGCACGGGAUCCGACCAUUGGGCCGGCGGGGGAUUCGUUGGAGGUGGGAAUGGGGGAGAGAAACUGUGAGAGUGAAGAUUUUUUACUCCGCCACCGAGCAGUGGAGUAAAUAUAGGGGCGGGAUAAGCAAUGGAGGAAUUUUUACUUAUGUUUUUACAUUCAUUAUUUUAUGUAACACAAUAUAUAUUUUCUUAUGCUCUUGUUUGGCUGUCGACAUGAAAAAUUUGAUGGAACAUACAAAUAAAAUGCAGCGAUGUUAAAAUAGAGCGGGUGAAGAAUAACUAUUCUACAUCCUAGGUGAUGAAUACCACAACCC